rnacentral:rRNA from 1 species
CUAAUACCGGAUAAUAUUUCGAACCGCAUGGUUCGAUAGUAGAAAGGUGGUUUUGCUAUCACUUAUAGAUGGACCCGCGCCGUAUUAGCUAGUUGGUAAGGUAACGGCUUACCAAGGCGACGAUACGUAGCCGACCUGAGAGGGUGAUCGGCCACACUGGAACUGAGACACGGUCCAGACUCCUACGGGAGGCAGCAGCC